UUGAUUGCUUGCGCUGUCUCUGAAGAUCCUCUGAAAUUCAAAAGUUUGGGUCCCCGGCGGUCCGCCGGCAGGGCCCCAGUGGGCGCCGGCCGGCAUCUCGCCGAAGCAACAGUGGUAAGUUCACAGUGGUUUAGGGAGUACGAGACUCUGUAAUGAUCCCUCCGCUGGUUCACCAACGGAGA
rnacentral:misc_RNA from 1 species